AUGAAAGAGAAGGGCACGUCGGAGAAGCCGGCGAAUCAAAAGAUGAAAGCAAACGACAAUGGAGCCGGUCGCCAUCCAGAGAAUCCUCCGACGUGGUACUACGAGAAGUGGAGGGUGCACCAAUUGGACUCUACCAUCUCGUAUGCAUCAAGGUUAAGGCCGCUGAUCCAAAACUGGAGUGACGAGAAGGCACAGAAGGUUGACAACAUAAUCAACAAAAAAUAUAUAGGGGUUGGAGAGUAUGUCGAUGACCUGUUGCGGCCUUUCAAUCCGCCACCAGUUGGGACGCCGGUCAAACCAAAGACUGACUGUCAGGAUAAGGCACUCAUGGGCCGUGUAUUGGCUGAUUUGAAAGAAGUUGCCUCCAUUGUGCGAGAAGCUAGUGCACAACAAUUUGAUAGGAUGAGCACCCUUGAAAAAAAUGGACGAGCUGAAGAAAGAAGAGAUCAAGAUGAUGAAGAUGUCAGUAUUGAGGUGGGAGGAGAGGCAGGUACCAAAAGCAAACACCGGUCUGCCAAGGCUAAGGCAAUAAGGGAGCCGGAAGAGACACAUGUCUUCCCAGUUGAUGAGGACAACUAUGAUGAUUCUUUAGCAAAGCAGCGACAAGAUAGCGUGGUUGAUUCCAUGCUACCAACUCGUACGAGCAUCCGGAAAAGAGUGGCAUCUUCAUUAUUGUGCAAUGAAGAUUACGUUCUGUACGAUAGUGAUAAGAAGAGAAAGAGAAACAGGACUCCAUCGGAGUCUACCAACGAUUCCAAGGACACAAAGAAUACAAAGAGGAAAAAACGUGCAAGCAUUUUUAAAGAUACAGACACAGGUGCUUCAAGGCUGGAGACUGACCUUGACAAGUUUCGACAGAAUCACAAGCAUUUGCAAUGCCUCACCAUGACAAAUGGAGUUUUAGAUGACAAAUGGUUGGGUGACGAAAUCAUGCGUCAUGAUCAUCCUGAGGAGAUAAGGGACGGGCAACUGGUUUACAUUGAGAGGGUGGUCGGCGUCGCUAUGCUCAAAAGAGAUGGUAAGGUAGAGAACUGCCACGAGGCCGCUUUGGUGGGUAGUCAUGGAAUAACAAAAGGAGACAACUACCUCAGACAUGAUCUGAACAUCAAAUUCUUUACGGGAGAAGAUCUUACGCUGCGUUAUGACCAAGCAUACAUUCACAAUUAUAGAAGAGAGCUGCCUGUUGCCCUUCUUACUUCGCCCUACAACAAAUUAAAGUCCAUGAAAAGGCUGAAGAUGUACAUUGCUAGCCUAUCGGAUGCAGCUGCGAUUGAAGAUCAUGAGGAUGCAAGCAGCAUGCCCUGCCAUGGGAAGAAGCACGUCCCUUCAAAUCUUGAUGAUAGUAUGGAGUUGUGGAAGAAACUGAAAGACCGUAAUGACACCAAAAUAACUUUUAAAGGAUUGCUAGCCAAGAUGAAAGUCGACAGCACACCAAAUUUUGUCAGGCCAUUUGUGUUGUACACCAUAGGCAAAUAUGUAUGCCGAACAAAAGAGGAGUAUGUGGAUAACAAAUAUAUUGGGAUUGUUAGAAACGUUGAGACGAUAAAAGGCACAAAUCUUGGACAGCUAACGCUUGACUAUCUUAUGGAUAGCGUGAAGAAUUUUGUAAAUGGUGAGGCAAUUCUUGAGGGGAAUAUACCACUGCUGCAGACAUGGUACUACGAGAAGUUUAGAGUGCACCAAUUGGACUCUAGCAUCUCGUAUGAAUCAAGGUUAAGGCCGCUGAUCCAGAACUGGAGCGAGGAGAAGGCAAAAAAGGUUGACAAUAUAAUCCAAAAUAAUUAUCUGGGAGUUGGAGAGUAUGUUGAGGACCUGAUGAGGCCUUUCAUUCCAGCACGAGAUUGAGUGGACGACAUACAUCUAUCUGACCUCGGGGCACCUUCACACCCAAUGGAGGCCUCUCAUGAGAAUGCUGUGCAGGCUUCUGACCAGGGGAAACAAAAGGAUGUCACGGAGGUUUAUGCUAAGCACGAUUGUAAGCAGGGAAUAAAAAAUGAUGACAUGGAGCCCCCCAUGAAGAACCUUGAUGAAGAUUUUGACGAUGAAGCAUUUGAAAGAGCUGCUGCAAAUAUCAAACAGGAUCUCAGUGGUAUUCAUAAGCUUUUGAAAGAGGUGGAUGAUAUCCAGGGAGCUCCUAGUUUUGAUAACCAAAUGCAUUCCAAAGCCACCACAAGCCUUGAAGAUUUCAGUUCUUGUAGUGCACUAUACAUGCUGAAGAACAUCGAAUUAUUUAUGGGAGUAAAACUAAGGUUGCAAUAUGAUGAAGCCUACAUCGACAAAUUCAGAAGAGAGCUACCUGUUGUGCUUGUCGAUUCACCCUACAACCAAAUGAAAUAUGGGACUAGGUUCAGGAAGUACCAUGCUAGGCAAUCGGAUGCAGCCGCGGUUGAAGACAACGAGGAUGCAAGCAGCACCCGCAUGGAGAACUGGGAGGUGGGAUGGCGCCGACUCUUCGCCGGCGGUCACCGCGGGGAGGGCAGUGGGCCUCCUCUCGUGUUUGUUGAAAAUGCGGUGCGAGAUCGCGAGGGAAUUGGGGUGGAGGAAGGGAAGGGCCACGACGCGCAGUUAGAUCCUGCCGGCGACGAGGGAGGGAGGGGCCACGACGAGCGGCUAGAUCCUGUCGGCGACGAGGGAGGGAGGGGCCGCGACGAGCGGCUAGAUCCUGCCGGCGAGGAUCAAAACCGUAGCGGCGGCGAGGCAUAA
rnacentral:rRNA from 1 species